GACGAACGCUGGCGGCGUGCCUAAUACAUGCAAGUAGAACGCUGAAGAGAGGAGCUUGCUCUUCUUGGAUGAGUUGCGAACGGGUGAGUAACGCGUAGGUAACCUGCCUUGUAGCGGGGGAUAACUAUUGGAAACGAUAGCUAAUACCGCAUAACAAUGGAUGACACAUGUCAUUUAUUUGAAAGGGGCAAUUGCUCCACUACAAGAUGGACCUGCGUUGUAUUAGCUAGUAGGUGAGGUAACGGCUCACCUAGGCGACGAUACAUAGCCGACCUGAGAGGGUGAUCGGCCACCCUGGGACUGAGACACGGCCCAGACUCCUACGGGAGGCAGCAGUAGGGAAUCUUCGGCAAUGGGGGCAACCCUGACCGAGCAACGCCGCGUGAGUGAAGAAGGGUGUCGGAUCGUAAAGCUCUGUUGUAAGUCAAGAACGAGUGUGAGAGUGGAAAGUUCACACUGUGACGGUAGCUUACCAGAAAGGGACGGCUAACUACGUG
rnacentral:rRNA from 1 species